rnacentral:rRNA from 1 species
GGGUUGUGAGGUUAAGCGACUAAGCGUACACGGUGGAUGCCCUGGCAGUCAGAGGCGAUGAAGGACGUGCUAAUCUGCGAUAAGCGUCGGUAAGGUGAUAUGAACCGUUAUAACCGGCGAUUUCCGAAUGGGGAAACCCAGUGUGUUUCGACACACUAUCAUUAACUGAAUCCAUAGGUUAAUGAGGCGAACCGGGGGAACUGAAACAUCUAAGUACCCCGAGGAAAAGAAAUCAACCGAGAUUCCCCCAGUAGCGGCGAGCGAACGGGGAGCAGCCCAGAGCCUGAAUCAGUAUGUGUGUUAGUGGAAGCGUCUGGAAAGGCGCGCGAUACAGGGUGACAGCCCCGUACACAAAAAUGCACAUGCUGUGAGCUCGAUGAGUAGGGCGGGACACGUGGUAUCCUGUCUGAAUAUGGGGGGACCAUCCUCCAAGGCUAAAUACUCCUGACUGACCGAUAGUGAACCAGUACCGUGAGGGAAAGGCGAAAAGAACCCCGGCGAGGGGAGUGAAAAAGAACCUGAAACCGUGUACGUACAAGCAGUGGGAGCACGCUUAGGCGUGUGACUGCGUACCUUUUGUAUAAUGGGUCAGCGACUUAUAUUCUGUAGCAAGGUUAACCGAAUAGGGGAGCCGAAGGGAAACCGAGUCUUAACUGGGCGUUAAGUUGCAGGGUAUAGACCCGAAACCCGGUGAUCUAGCCAUGGGCAGGUUGAAGGUUGGGUAACACUAACUGGAGGACCGAACCGACUAAUGUUGAAAAAUUAGCGGAUGACUUGUGGCUGGGGGUGAAAGGCCAAUCAAACCGGGAGAUAGCUGGUUCUCCCCGAAAGCUAUUUAGGUAGCGCCUCGUGAAUUCAUCUCCGGGGGUAGAGCACUGUUUCGGCAAGGGGGUCAUCCCGACUUACCAACCCGAUGCAAACUGCGAAUACCGGAGAAUGUUAUCACGGGAGACACACGGCGGGUGCUAACGUCCGUCGUGAAGAGGGAAACAACCCAGACCGCCAGCUAAGGUCCCAAAGUCAUGGUUAAGUGGGAAACGAUGUGGGAAGGCCCAGACAGCCAGGAUGUUGGCUUAGAAGCAGCCAUCAUUUAAAGAAAGCGUAAUAGCUCACUGGUCGAGUCGGCCUGCGCGGAAGAUGUAACGGGGCUAAACCAUGCACCGAAGCUGCGGCAGCGACNNNNNNNNNNNNNNNNNNNNNNNNNNAUGCUGGAGGUAUCAGAAGUGCGAAUGCUGACAUAAGUAACGAUAAAGCGGGUGAAAAGCCCGCUCGCCGGAAGACCAAGGGUUCCUGUCCAACGUUAAUCGGGGCAGGGUGAGUCGACCCCUAAGGCGAGGCCGAAAGGCGUAGUCGAUGGGAAACAGGUUAAUAUUCCUGUACUUGGUGUUACUGCGAAGGGGGGACGGAGAAGGCUAUGUUGGCCGGGCGACGGUUGUCCCGGUUUAAGCGUGUAGGCUGGUUUUCCAGGCAAAUCCGGAAAAUCAAGGCUGAGGCGUGAUGACGAGGCACUACGGUGCUGAAGCAACAAAUGCCCUGCUUCCAGGAAAAGCCUCUAAGCAUCAGGUAACAUCAAAUCGUACCCCAAACCGACACAGGUGGUCAGGUAGAGAAUACCAAGGCGCUUGAGAGAACUCGGGUGAAGGAACUAGGCAAAAUGGUGCCGUAACUUCGGGAGAAGGCACGCUGAUAUGUAGGUGAAGCGACUUGCUCGUGGAGCUGAAAUCAGUCGAAGAUACCAGCUGGCUGCAACUGUUUAUUAAAAACACAGCACUGUGCAAACACGAAAGUGGACGUAUACGGUGUGACGCCUGCCCGGUGCCGGAAGGUUAAUUGAUGGGGUUAGCGCAAGCGAAGCUCUUGAUCGAAGCCCCGGUAAACGGCGGCCGUAACUAUAACGGUCCUAAGGUAGCGAAAUUCCUUGUCGGGUAAGUUCCGACCUGCACGAAUGGCGUAAUGAUGGCCAGGCUGUCUCCACCCGAGACUCAGUGAAAUUGAACUCGCUGUGAAGAUGCAGUGUACCCGCGGCAAGACGGAAAGACCCCGUGAACCUUUACUAUAGCUUGACACUGAACAUUGAGCCUUGAUGUGUAGGAUAGGUGGGAGGCUUUGAAGUGUGGACGCCAGUCUGCAUGGAGCCGACCUUGAAAUACCACCCUUUAAUGUUUGAUGUUCUAACGUUGACCCGUAAUCCGGGUUGCGGACAGUGUCUGGUGGGUAGUUUGACUGGGGCGGUCUCCUCCUAAAGAGUAACGGAGGAGCACGAAGGUUGGCUAAUCCUGGUCGGACAUCAGGAGGUUAGUGCAAUGGCAUAAGCCAGCUUGACUGCGAGCGUGACGGCGCGAGCAGGUGCGAAAGCAGGUCAUAGUGAUCCGGUGGUUCUGAAUGGAAGGGCCAUCGCUCAACGGAUAAAAGGUACUCCGGGGAUAACAGGCUGAUACCGCCCAAGAGUUCAUAUCGACGGCGGUGUUUGGCACCUCGAUGUCGGCUCAUCACAUCCUGGGGCUGAAGUAGGUCCCAAGGGUAUGGCUGUUCGCCAUUUAAAGUGGUACGCGAGCUGGGUUUAGAACGUCGUGAGACAGUUCGGUCCCUAUCUGCCGUGGGCGCUGGAGAACUGAGGGGGGCUGCUCCUAGUACGAGAGGACCGGAGUGGACGCAUCACUGGUGUUCGGGUUGUCAUGCCAAUGGCACUGCCCGGUAGCUAAAUGCGGAAGAGAUAAGUGCUGAAAGCAUCUAAGCACGAAACUUGCCCCGAGAUGAGUUCUCCCUGACCCUUUAAGGGUCCUGAAGGAACGUUGAAGACGACGACGUUGAUAGGCCGGGUGUGUAAGCGCAGCGAUGCGUUGAGCUAACCGGUACUAAUGAACCGUGAGGCUUAACCUUACAACGCCGAAG